rnacentral:rRNA from 1 species
AACGAACGCUGGCGGCAGGCCUAACACAUGCAAGUCGAGCGAGGACUUCGGUUCUAGCGGCGGACGGGUGAGUAACGCGUGGGAAUGUGCCCUUCUCUACGGAAUAGCCCUGGGAAACUUGGAGUAAUACCGUAUACGCUCUUUUGGGGUAAGAUCUAUCGGGGAAGGAUCAGCGCGCGUUGGAUUAGGUAGUUGGUGGGGUAAUGGCCUACCAAGCCGACGAUCCAUAGCUGGUUUGAGAGGAUGCUCCGCCACACUGGGACUGAGACACGGCCCAGACCCCGACGGGAGGCAGCAGUGGGGAAUAUUAGACAAUGAGGGCAAACCUGAUCUAGCCAUGCGGGGUGAGUGAGGAAGGCCUUAGGAUUGUAAAGCUCUCUCAGCUGGGAAGAUAAUGACGGUAACAGCAGAAGAAGCCCCGGCUAACUCCGUG